CUGUCGCUCUGUUUUCUGGGCGCUUGUACCCUACGGCCUCUCCGAGCUCUGACUCCCUUCCCUGGGAAAGAGCACCAGGAACAGGGUAGCAGGUUUGAGGUACCCGGGCUGGACUCGUGGAGGUGCUCAGCAAACUGAGGAAGGG